rnacentral:rRNA from 1 species
CAGUAGCCGCGGUAAUACGUAGGGUGCGAGCGUUAAUCGGAAUUACUGGGCGUAAAGCGUGCGCAGGCGGUUAUAUAAGACAGAUGUGAAAUCCCCGGGCUCAACCUGGGACCUGCAUUUGUGACUGUAUAGCUAGAGUACGGUAGAGGGGGAUGGAAUUCCGCGUGUAGCAGUGAAAUGCGUAGAUAUGCGGAGGAACACCGAUGGCGAAGGCAAUCCCCUGGACCUGUACUGACGCUCAUGCACGAAAGCGUGGGGAGCAGACAGGAUUAGAUACCCCAGUAGUCCCUGUCUCUUAUAC